UGAAACACUGGUCUUUGUCUGAUCACUGAAGUUAUACAAUGUUGAGUCUAAUUAGUACUUAGAUGGGUGAUCACUUGGGAAUACCAAGUGCUGUAAGC